rnacentral:rRNA from 1 species
CUGCCAGUAACGUAUGCUUUUCCGAAAGAUUAAGCCAUGCAUGCCCUGACUAAGAGUGGCUAUCUCUGAAUCUGCGAACGGCUCCGCACAACGAGAGUAACCUGCCGCUUGAUGCAUCAUCACCCGUUAGGGUGGUGGGGGCAACACGGAUACCCCCGGAAAAGCUGGGGCUAAUACGCGUUCAAUCUUGGCUCCAUGUCGGCUUCCUUCAUUCGUGUUGGAACUUUGGGGCUGGGAAGCGUGCGAGCACAUUUUGCUUCGUUUAUAAGGAAUCAGCGCACGUCGGUACACGGUCAUUCAGAGAUUCAUCACCCUAGUUGGGUCUCGACCUGUGCUCGCGCUGGGCUCUUGUUCCUAUCAUACUCGCCUGCAGCGUAACGGACAUGCAGGGGUGAUGACGGGUACAGAGGAUUAGAGUUCGAUCCUGGAGAGUGGGCCUGAGAGAUUGCUCAUACUUCUAAGGAAGGCAGCAGGCGCGCAACGUUCCCACUGGGCACUGUCCCGAGGGCGUUAUUGGAAGUAUGAAUGGCUGCUUCUAAAAAGUAGCCAAUACAAAUGGGUUGGUUUUAAAUCACCCUUCGAGCAACAAUUAGAGGACAAGUCUGGUGCCAGCACCCGCGGUAAUUCCAGCUCUAAUAGCAUACAUUAAAAUUGUUGCGGUUAAAACGUUCGGAGCCGAUUUCAGACUGCCUGAAGCCGUGGGCAAGGGCACGCGAGGUGUUGCCCGGUCCGAGCUGGGCGGCAUUCGCGGGCCAGCUCAUGGUGCUACGGCGGUCUCACGCGUGUGAGGGGCGGGCCAUUCAUUUGGCCCGUAAAAGGCGGCCCGAAUCAUUCGACUCGUGGCAGCUCCUCUUUCCGCCGUUCUGCUGUUGAUAAAACUGUAACCGAUCAAGGUGGGUGUUCAAAGCGGCGGUGCCUAAACCACACCAAUUGCGAAUGUCCUAUCAUGCGAGCAGGUAUCACAGCAUAGGUGUACCCGCACGGGUUCAACGAAGCUUGUAUGCUGCGGCUCCGGCUUGCGGCUCGAGUCCCAGUGCGGUAUAUCGAUUCGGGGACAGCAGAGAGUGAUCGAAUCAGUUGGCGAACGGUGAAAAGUGUUGACCCAAUUGAGACGAACUAAAGCGAAAGCAGUCAAUUUCGAUAUCCCCUUCGGACCAGGACGAAAGUUAGGGGAUCGAAGACGAUCAGAUACCGUCGUAGUCCUAACUAUAAACUUUAUCAGCUGGGGACAGGGCUAUGUCACCUCGACUCGCCCCGGAUCCAAUAUGGGAAACUUUCAGCAGGAUUCUGGGGGGAGUAUGGUCGCAAGAUUGAAACUUAAAGGAAUUGACGGAAGGACACACAAAGAGUGGAAUCUGCGGCUUAAAUUGACCCAACACGGGAUAUCUCACCUGGGCAAGACGUACACAUGAAGGACAGAAUGAAGCUUUUUCCAAAUAGUGCGAUUCGUGGUGCAUGGCCGUCGCUAGUUCGUGGCUUGGGCAGUCCGGUUCAUUCCUUUAACGAGCAAGACCUUCACGCUUAAGUAGCAAUCACUGUGUUCAAUGGCUUUGCUGCAAAGCAUUGCUGAACGUCACAAGGAUUGGGUUUCAUAUACGGAGGACAGCUCGGGGGCGGCUGCGGUGAAGUUGUUU